rnacentral:lncRNA from 1 species
CUUGAGAGUCCCUUGGACUGCAAGGAGAUCCAACCAGUCCAUCCUAAAGGAAAUCAGUCCUGAAUAUUCAUUGGAAGGACUGAUGCUGAAGUUGAAAUUCCAAUAUUUGACCACCUGAUGCGAAGAACUGACUCAUUUGAAAAGACCCUGAUGCUGGGAAAGAUUGAAGGUGGGAGGGGAAGGGGGCGAUAGAGGAUGAGAGGGUUGGAUGGCAUCACCGGCUCAAUGGACAUGAGUUUGGGCAAGUUCUGGGAGAUGGUGAUGGACAGGGAAGCCUGGCGGGGCGUAGUCCACAGGGCCACAGAGUCGGGCAUGACUGAGCAGCAAUGCACACACACACACGCACACACGCCCGGCCUGCUGCACAUGAUGCGGGCCUGGAAUCACCUGGCGGAGGAGCUGCUUAGCUCAGCGAGGCAGGCAGUGGGUGNGAUCAGGGAGGUCUCAGGGCUAGCGAGCCUCCAGCCCUGGCGUCCCAGCCAGCCGACAGCCACUAUGCGCACGCGUCCAGCUUCCGUCUUGGGGCGACGAGGCAGCCUCCCCAUCACCACUCCCUGGGCAGGGCUCAGGCGCCCUGAGGACCCCAGAGGGGGAGCAGGUCAGGCGCUGCUUGAGCUCAGCUGAGCCAUGGGGGCCGGGGCUCCCAGGGAGGCAGGGCAGGAAGGGUGGGCCUCCCACGGCCACUCCCCAGGCCUGGCUGGCCAUGGGGUCUCUGCGGGAGGUGCUCUGGCCCCUCUCCAUCCUCCAGCAGCAGUGCCAGCAUCUCCGGAGGCUUGGAAGGACUGGUACCUGACACACGGAAGCGGGUGUCGGCUACACGCUGGGCUCCACUGGGGGAUGAAUGUCCCAGUGACAUCCAUCUGAACCGGUACCAUCACCAUCGGGCAGGCACUGGCCUGGGGUUCUGUGUCUCUAGCUCGUUCACAUCCUUUGACCUCUGGGUGCUAGGGGGCAAUGCCAGGAUGUCUGCACCCCAGGACUUGCUCCAGAGAAGUGUGCUGAGACUGUGGGACCUGACCCUUCACCCCAAACUCUAACCAGGUGCCCCUUUGGCAGAACAGCUUGAGCCUGAGGGGUUGCCUGCGUCUCACCUGGGCGAGGUGCCAGGCAUGUUGGGGUGCAGCCGUGGCUGGGGCAGGGGCAGAGAGAGGCAAGUGGGGGACAGACGGGUCCCCUGCUGGGUCCUCCUCCCUGCCCUGAGCUCUGCAGGGAAGUCCAGGGCAGGGAGGGCCCAGGAGGCGUGGGUGUCGGGCCGGGAUGAGGACUAGGCCGUCUGAGGACAGGCAGGGCUGGGGCUGCAGCAGGGGCCGUGUGACAGACAACGGGGGCGGCUGGGAAGGAGCGGACCAGGGGCAGCCCUGGAGCAGAGAGGGGGCUCUCCCCGGACUCCUCCAGGAAAAGCAGAGACAGACAUUAAGAAAAACAAAUGUACCCUCCGAUCCCGCUGUGCUCUUAAAGGCACUCAGGGGGCAGGAUUUCAUCCCCAUUAAAUAAUUCACUCUGACACCAAAAACAACAGUGGAUGUUCUUCAAAUGGCCGAGAAGAAACCCGCAAGAUCCCGGGGGCUGAACCUGGGGGGCUGGGGGAAUUUGUUCUUCCCCCGGAUCCUGGCCUCCAGCCAAGCACAGACCGGGCCACCGAGCCCGUCUGGGGCCGGGGUUGAUAAACUCCUGCUAAGCCUCCUUGGGUGACCCAGGCCCACCCGGUUCUUUGACGUGGGGACUCGUGCCGUGAACACACCUGUUUUCUCCGUCAGUCUUGGAGAAUUCGGACCAGGAGCCGGCCUGGUGCUCGCUGGGGGAAGCCACUGCUGCAGACGGUGUGGAAACCAGGCGCCCUCCUGCAGUUCAGUAAAAAUAACCCCGGGUUCUCGCAACUCGCCCGCUGGCUCCUGGGGGAUCCCAGAGUCUGCACACCUCAUCCGGGUGGCGUGUCUGGCCAUGAGGUCAGGGCUCAGCCCCGAGCCGACCUAGCCUCUGUGCCCCCAGCAUCUUCCUGAACGCUGGCUGUGAGGGGCUGGGGACCCGGUGGGCAAGGCCGACAGCCUGUAGGACACGAGAUGGGACACCCAGAACCAGGCGGGCAAAGGCAAGGGCAGAUGGUCCUGGAGAAAGUGCCCCCAUGCGGGGAGAGGGUGGCAGAGGGCGGGGCCGGGAGAGGAAGCAGCUUCAGGACAGAUGCCCGACGGCGUGGCCAGGAUGCUGGAUGGGGCGGAGCUGGACGUAGACCCGAGAAGGACUGCCCAAGGGGCCGGGCCACAGAGGGGUGCCCAGGGAGGAGUGCCCUGCUCAUGGGCCUGGGAGCGGCCUGGCAGCUGCUGAGGCUUCAGAGCAGACAGUGCCCAGCCAGGCGGGCACAAAGUUCUCUCCAGGGGAUGAGGAAAGAACCACCCCGUGGGCAGUGAGCAAGCAGGGCCCGAUGUCCACCUUAACCCACGCUCUGCUGCACCCCAGGGACAGACUCUAGUCCUCCCGCGUCUACACUCUAACCUCC